rnacentral:rRNA from 1 species
CGGCCGCAGUACUCUGACUGUGCUAAGGUAGCAUAAUAAUUUGGCUUUUAAUUGGAGUCUGGAAUAAACGAAUUGAUGGGGGGGUCCUGUCUUUUUCCCAUUAGGUGAAAAUGCCUAAAUUGUAAUAUAAGACGAGAAGACCCUUAGAAUUAUUUUUUGUUGGGGCAACAGUGUCAGAGAAAAUCUGACUUAUAGUAGAAAAUUUGAAUUUAAUUACCUAAGGGAUAACAGCAUAAUUUUUUUUCUAGAUUGUGACCUCGAUGUUGGACUAGGGAGCCUGUCUGCUAG